CGGCGAGUGAAGCGGCAAAAGCUCAAAUUUGAAAUCUGGCCCUUUCAGGGUCCGAGUUGUAAUUUGUAGAGGAUGCUUCGGGAGCGGCGGCGGUCUAAGUCCCCUGGAACGGGGCGUCAUAGAGGGUGAGAAUCCCGUCUUGGAUCGCAUUGCCGUGACCAUGUGAAGCUCCUUCGACGAGUCGAGUUGUUUGGGAAUGCAGCUCUAAAUGGGUGGUAAAUUUCAUCUAAAGCUAAAUAUUGGCCAGAGACCGAUAGCGCACAAGUAGAGUGAUCGAAAGAUGAAAAGCACUUUGAAAAGAGAGUUAAACAGCACGUGAAAUUGUUGAAAGGGAAGCGCUUGCGACCAGACUUGCGCCCGUCGGAUCAACCGUCGCUUGUCGGCGGCGCACUCCGGCGGGCUCAGGCCAGCAUCAGUUUUCCCGGGGGGAGAAAGGCGGUGGGAAUGUAGCUCCUAGGAGUGUUAUAGCCCGCCGCGUAAUACCCUCGGGGGGACUGAGGACCGCGCAUCUGCAAGGAUGC
rnacentral:rRNA from 1 species